rnacentral:tRNA from 1 species
GUGGAAGACCGGGUUCGAACCGGCGACCUCUGGAACCACAAUCCAGCGCUCUAACCAGCUGAGCUACAACCAC